UCCCGUGUUUGAUCUUCCUUUUGUUUCCGCAACUCACGUCCUCUAUCUCCUUUCCCUCGUCUUUCUACUGCUGUUGCUGGUACUGAUCUCUAGUGUUUUUGAUUCCCUCUUUUUUCUCUCUAAACUCUCGAGGGUUUUUUGUUGAUAUUACGCCUUCCACUUGCCAUUACGAGUAAUAACAUGGAUGGAUUCGACAUGGCUGAUCUCGGCGCUUCCCUUUCUCCUGCUGCUACUGCCGGACAUUGAGGUGAACAACCGGAAGGUUAAGGUGCAUUGUGGCAAUGCCUCCGUAUUUGAACGCUUACCUGAUUGUGUCAAAAUUUAAGUGGAUACAGGAACUCCUUUGGCUUCAGACAUGUGUUUGUGUGUGGUUUUAAAGUUCUUCGCAACAACAGGACUUCCAAGUCAAAGACAGAAUACCAUGCGAUAGCACCUCAACCAUAUGAGAGAAUUAGAUGAGGGAGGGGAAUUCAGUCAUUCAUCAGAAGUAGAUAGUAAUCAUCAUCUUACCCGGAUAGGCAUGCAAAGCCUCAAUUGCUGCUGACAUACUCAAUGCAUCUGCUCCCAACAUUAUUACAUUACCACCUUGUGCGAGACAAGGGUUUGCAUUGGGGUUGACUGUUGUAGUUGAUGCUAUUCCUAGCAUUAGAGUGGAGUCUUUGAUGAAACUAAUAGUUAAUUUGUUAGAGGUCUCUUCUUCAAUGAAGGGUCAGGCAAGUGCAUGCUAAAUCAUGCUUUGAAGAAUACUGGUAUAUGGUUGCCACUCUCUGCGUGUGAUAUUUUUCAGUUCCUUCUUUGUGCAAUUUCAGGAAGCAAGGGAUUGUCUUUUAGGUCGUCUAUUUGCUUAUGGCUCUCUUGUCCGAUCUGCGUGAAUAGCUCAAGAGUGGGUUUCCAAUAAAAAUACUCCUCUUGUCAAGGAAUUCAUCAACCAUGUCAUCUCUCUUGCUGCUAAGAAGCUCUAUUUAAAAGAGCCAGCUGUCUUGGAUGUUUUAAACUUGGUUGAACAGCUCAAGUGUCAAACAUCCAAGUUGGCUAAAGUUAGCCCUUACAAAGUUCAACCAUUAUGUUAAAUGGAUUUGCAUUGGAAGACAUGUUACCUUAUCUUGGAAAUUGGAUUUUUUUUAAUUCCUUGUACUUUUAUACAUCAAUUGAAUAUUGUAUUUAAACAAUUUGUUUUGGAUAUUAUAA